UCCUCCCCGGAAUGGUCUCCAACUCCCGUCAAGGACCCACCGCUGUUCUCUAUCGAGCCCCACUGCGGUACCAUCCCUGCUGGCCAGAAUCAGAUUUUCCGUGUGAAAUUCUUCCCGACGUGUGUGGGGGAAUUUAAGGCCGAAAUGGUGUGCAGAGUUCAUAACCUGAAGCCGUCUCAGAAGAGCCCACGGGUGUUGGUGAUGGGGAAAGGGUGUGAGCCGAAGGCUGAUCUGAAAUGCUUUACAUCACUGCAAAAAGGUGAAACCCAGAGCAGCAAACCCAAGAAGAAGGUGCAGCGCUCAGCAAAACUAGAGUGACACCAUUUGUGCCAUGGUUUCUCCUGCUCAUGGUUUCCCAGCCUUCAGCAGAGACCUCCCCAGCUACUCUUCAAGCCCCAACACCCACCUCUACCUCAUCUGUGUACUACCUAAUAAACUGUGUCUCAACGCA